GUUGAACGCUGGCGGCAUGCCUAACACAUGCAAGUCGAGCGGACGAAGGGAGCUUUCUCCUGGCUUCCGCUGCGGACGGGCGAGUAAUGCCUACGAAUCUGACUUGUCGUUAGGGAUAACGUCCGGUCGCGGGCGCUAAUACAGCAUACGUUCUGAGGUAGAAAGUGAGGGAUCUUCGGUGCAAGAGCUAUCAGCUGAGACUAGGUCGGAUUAGCUAGUUGGUUGGGUAAAGGCCUACCAAGGCGACGAUCCGUAACUGGUCUGAGAGGAUGAUCAGUCACACUGGAACUGAGACACGGUCCAGACUCCUACGGGAGGCAGCAGUGGGGAAUAUUGGACAAUGGGCGAAAGCCUGAUGCAGCAACGCCGCGUGUGUGAAGAAGGUCUUCGGAUCGUAAAGCACUGUAAGUUGGGAGGAAGGAAAGUAAGUUAAUCCAUUGCUGUCUUGACGGUACCAACAGAAAAAGCCCCGGCUAACUUCGUG
rnacentral:rRNA from 1 species